rnacentral:lncRNA from 1 species
GAAAAAUGUUACAAAGCGACAGCGAGGAUUUGGCCGUUAAUAACGACUCAAAUUUCGGUCUGUAACUUUACAAAAUAGUGUAACAUAGCUUUAGAAAACUUGAAAUAUAAUGCAAUAGUCAUAUAGGCUAUAUUUAUGAUAUUUUUAUGAUUUUUUUGUCCGUUUUGACGCUUAACAGUCCCUGGUCUCACACUGUUCUAUUGAGGAGAAAUGAAAAGCAGUUAGGACUUCUUCAAAAAAUCGUACUGUGUUCUCUACAGAAAAACCAUACUCGUCUUGAACGACACGGGGAAACAGAUUUGGAGAAAUUUAAUCCUUUGCAGUGAAUGGAUGCCGUUAGUAUGAGAGCCCAAGCAGCUGAUAAAACAUUAUAAUAAUCCACACCACUCCAGUCCAUCAGUUAAUGUCUUGG